CCUUUCUAUCAUUGGUCGGUGCGUUGCAAGGGAUGCAUGCCAACGGUGCUUCCGAUGCCGUCGAUCGGUUCCUUUACCUUAUCACUAUGGUUCCUUCAUCUUAUACCUAAUACCAGUUUGGCAUAUCUCCUUAUCGGAUUUCCUAAAAUUGAAGUAGUGCAUUUUCCUUAGCUGAAAGGAGGUGGCUACACCCACACACUUUCUAAUUGAUAAAUGGAGUUAUACGAUUCAUCAAAUACACGUGAUGAGUGGAGCUCGUUGAAGAGCAUUGUGGAUUAUGCAGCAUUGGAGCGGAUGAAAAUGUAUUCGUUAGGAAUAACCAAACUUGCAAAUGGAGUCUACAGAAGAACUUUUGCAACAUCUACGCUGCAAUCUCUUUAGAUUUGGUAGGGAUGGGCGGUUUUGGUAAAAUUACACUUGUCAAACAAUUGGAUAUUUAAGAAAUCUCCUCUAUUUAUAGAUGCCGCUUUGAUUUUUAUCUGGGAGUUGAUGUAGAUAAAUACUUUAGAUCUUAUAUGAUCUCCUCUAAUCUUAAAGUGGCCAAGUAGCUUUUUUGUUGGCAUGCUUGGUUACAAUCUUAUUUGCCUCAUGGAUUUGAAGAUCUGACAGAAAUUUCAACGAGUUCUUUCUAUGGAUUACCUUUGUCUCUUAAAGUAUUAGGAGGAUAGAGGUGGGUGAAUCUGGAAGGUUACUAAGAGUCUCAGUGAGAUGAAGUCUCUAGCAUAUUCGAGGUAUAUAUUAAACAGAGGUCAAAAGUAAGCUGCUAUAUUCUGCACUUAGAAUGGUAGAAGAUUUCCGUAGAUAUAGCUUGUUUUUUCAUUGAAAAGCAAAGAGUUUGACAAUUUCUAUGGGAAAUGACAUUAUAAAGUAUGCCCAGUUCAGUAGGGCAUAAAUCAUUAGUGAGUGGUCUACAUAGUUGGGAAUCAUUUAUUUAAAAUUGUUUCUCUUGAACUUCAAGAGUCAGAAUAGCAUAAGAAUGCAUGACCACCUUCUGUGAUCUGGGAAGAGAAAUUUCACUUAAACAUUCAUUUACUAUUGGAAGGAUGAUCGACAUUUGGACACAAAUAGAGGUGAGUCUGUUUUUUUCUUCAAUGAAAUGUAAUUUCAUGUUCAUGUUUUUUUUUUCCUAUUCAUACUUUUAAAUCUUUAUCACAUUCUUGACAUAAAAGAAGUAUGCAAGGCUAAUACAGAUGCUAGUAUUUCUGUUUUGGCUUCCUGUAAAAAUUGGUGCAUUCUUUCUGUCCGAGUGAAUGAAAAUUGGCUGCAGGCUCCUUUGCAGUGGAGACCACCGAUUAUUUCUUUCAGCCCUAGAUUCCAAUAUUUCUGAAAUUUCAUAGGAUGUCUGAGGUAUUUGAAAAAAAUAAAUCUUUGAUUGAUUCAGCCCAUUAAUUUCCUAGGAUGAGGCUUCCAGUAGAAUUCCAUCUUCUCAAAUAGCUGGAGCACCUCUAGUUAAAAAUUCUAUCUUCAUAACUACCUCUUUCAAAGAUUUAACAAACUUGCAGCAAAUAGAUUUGUCCAACUGAAUGGAGUCUAAGAUGUUUCCAGUCUCUUUGAAGCAGUUAACAUUCUUGCAAAUCAGAAAAGAAAACCUUGAUUCGUUGAGCAUACCAGGUUCCCAUUAGGAGACUUCAAAAUAACUGUCUUCUCAAAUUGUUGGAGCAUCCAGAGUUAAAAAUGCUAUCAUUAGUACCUAACUGUUUAAGGAUAUGACAAACCUGUGGUAUAUUGAUUUGUCCAGCUGGAUAGAAUCUAAUAUGUUUUGAGUUACUUUUAAGCAGCUAACAUUGCUUCUAUAUCUUGGUUUAUGGUAUUGUUUCAAGGUCAUGUUCACAUUUGACAUUUUCAAAAAUAUCAUACAAGAAGCUGAAGUUUUUGGGAUGCAGGGAAUCUCAAGAGUUGCCUCAUCAAAUCACAAAUCAGAUUUUCCUGAAGAAGCUCCAUCUUGACGAGAACAACAUGAGGGAUGUAACAACAGACAUUUGUCAAUGAAGCAAAAUGCAAUUUCUGAAAUGAAAGAUCCUCUUCUUGAGGAGUGUUCCAACCUCAGAAUUUUGAGUAAAUUGGAAUUUAUGAGCAUAAGCAGUUUGUCAUUCGAAAGUUUGUCAGACACUCUUGUAAAUUUGUCCUGCUUGAAUCAUCUUUCAAUUCUUGCUUCUAACAAUUGUAAAAGCUUCGCCAAGGCAGAUUAUAGAUUCUAAAUCUUUUGGAUUCUCUAAAUGUAGUCUCAUUAGGAUGAAGUCUUUACCAAAAACAUUUCAUUAACUCAUAGUUGAUUUUUGGGUCAAAGUGGUCAGGAUUAAGCAUCUUGAUCGAAGUGAAACACAAGCAUUCAAGAUACUAUUUUCUGAAGAGAGUUAUCCAAGCCCUAAAAUUUUCCAUUUCUAGAAGAGCACUUUACAAGUGGAAAAUGUCGCCAUACAAUUGUUUCAUUUCAGUUUGGCUACAUGCUUAAUAAUGUAUAAAUAUUAAGUCCUCUACCAUCCUGACUUAUCUGUUUUGCAUUUCGUUCACUUGCUCUGUGAUCUACUUUGUGCUAUACUAAGUAAAUUUUAUUUCAUUUGUUUUCUAUUUUGUUGUAGAUGUUUACGAAUGAGUGGAGACUGAUGAAGAGUAUUGUGAAUUUUGCAUUAAAGAUGACUACAUUUUUUUCAUUCAAUGUAGCCAAACAUCCUGUUGUCUCAAUGAAGCUGUAAGAGACUUUGUAACUCCUACACUGCAAUCUCUGUAGAGUGGACAGAAGGCACAAAUUGUGGAAAUGGGGUAUUGUGGUAAAAUGACACUCGCGAAAAGCAUUAUGGGAUAGAAGGUGCUUCUCCAUCUACAGUUUCACUAGCAGAUAACUUGGAGGACCUUCAUGCCAUACUUUUUUCUAUUUAACAAUAUACAUUAAUGCAAGUCAUAUGAGAUCUAUUAGUCUGCUGAUAGUUCUGGAUGAUGUGGAUCAUGAGGCCAACUAGAUGCUCUGCUUCCAAUGACGAUCUCCCUUGGAAUGGAUAGUUUCAUUAUUGUCACAGCUCACGAUUUGGGUAUCCUUAGAUCUUUGGGCAUUUCCUUCAUUUAUAAGGUGUAGCUAAGUUGCUGUAAUUUUUUUUACAGUCCUAUUCACUCCAGGAAUCAGAGGAUCUGUUUGAAAAAAAAAUGAUUUCAAGUGUAUUAACUCAAUAUAAUAGAAAAAGGGAGUUAUACUGGCCCACAAACUUUGCAUC